rnacentral:rRNA from 1 species
CCACGCACCGUGGAGGAAAUCUACGAGGAUUUCUCUGCCCGCCGCAGCGCUCUCAUCCGAGCCCUCACCACCGAUCAGAAGGAAUUAUAUGGUCUAUUAUGCAAGCCAGGUAAGAAAGCACUGUGCUUGUACGGCCACGCGGACGGGAGCUGGGAGUUGAGGCGGCCGGAUGACUUGGCGCCACCCCACAUGCCGGAGCCGACGCUGGGCGUCAACUUCCGGCCGGAUUACAUAAGCCCUUUUGCCUGGCUCGAGUUCAUCGCCCAACGCGCUGACUCGUGGCUCAUCGGCGUCGCAUUUUUCUUCGCCGCUUGCCUCAACGCCAAUAAUAGGAUGCGUUUAUUUGAUAUGAUGAAUAAUUUGCCAACUGUCUAUCGAACAUUGUAUCACUUCCACAAGAUUGUUUGGCUACCUACACCACCAUCUCCAGUUUUGAUGCAAAAUGUGUACAAUCCAAAUGAAUAUUCGGGUGCACCUGCUCAAGACAGCGUGCCACAAUCUCCAGACUUAAUGGAAAACGUGUCCAAUCCAAACAUAAACUCUAUAACACCUGUUGAAGAGAACAUGCCACUAGUAUCUCAAGACUCCUGGCAAAACGUGUCCGAUCCAAACAAGAACUCUAGGACACUUGCUGAAGAAGAUGAAGAGGAUCAUGAAGUUAGCAAGCGAUACUUUUGCGGAGAGUGUGGUGCUCCGUACCAUGCCAAUGGGUUUUGGAUCUGCUGUAACGUAUGUGAUCUGUGGUUCCAUGGCAGAUAUGUGAAGAUAACUGCUUCUAAAUCAGCACAUAUCAAGGAUUACAAGUGUCCUGACUGCACC